UCUGGCUGCCUCUCUUUGUGCACAAGCCAAUGGCAGUGUAUAGUUCGAUCACUGAAUUGGAUGAUUAAGGGGGCAGUCUUAAAGGCCAGCAAAUGAGUGGAGGAAAAUGAAUAAGCAGAAAGGAAAAUAUCUCAGAUUAUGGUGGAAGAUUUGAAAUGCAAUGUUAACUGGAUAACCAAGGUGGCUGUCUGUGGAGAACAAGAAUAAAAAGGGUAUUUCCACUGGAAAAUCCAUUUUCCCGAUAUCAUGGACAGAGCAGAAAUGUUGCAAUGUUGAAACACUUGACACAAAGCCUCCAGAGAGCUCAGGAAAAGCCCCAACGCUUCUUUUGACUGAAAGAUAAAUCAGCAAUUCUGAAAAGACGCCUUCUGAUGCUGCCAGGCCUGCUGAGCUUCUCCAGCAGCUUCUGUUCUGGUUGGCUAUUAACAAUCUGCAUGAAUUACUUGAAACAUCCCAUAUUCAUUACAUCCAAGGAAGAUUGUUUGUCAGCGGGAUUCCUGGAUCGGUUUCUUUGGCAACUCAAGAGGCAAAGCCCUUACGUCAGGCACUGGGAAGACUCUUAAAUAAGAUCCUCCUCUUCAGCGUGGAUAACAUUGCCAAGUAAGACUUUGUCCAGCCUCUUAAAUCUUUGCUCUGAAGAUGUAUUGUGGGCUCCCAAAGGAUAUUCCUGGCCACAGGGAGAAUACCAACUGUGCCUGGUGUAAAAUCUUUGAGAGGAAAGUCAGGAGAAUUCCCGAGUCUGAUCCACGUUGGGAGAUUACUGACAUUGUAGUGAGAACAGAAUUUAUCACUAUUUGUACUCCCUGGGGCUCAAAGGUACACACUGGUUAGUCUGAAAUGGAAGAAAAUGCGGCAGAAGAGGCAACAUUUGGAAAGAGAAAGACUUUAAUGACAGUUUCCUGAUGAGGUCAUUCUUCAGCAGACAAGAUUCACUCGUUUUGUUUGAUAUAUGUAUGAAAAAUUAAAAAGGAGGAAACCUAAAAAUGAUGACUAGGGAUAUCAACAUACAUGUGUUGGAGCAUUUGUAUGUUCCUCUCUGCUAUUUGAACAGUGUAUAUGUUAAUCCAUUUAUUUAAACUGGCUAACAAACCAUUUAAAAACAGGACAGACCAAUGUUGUACAAACAGCUUUAACAUGUCUGCACUAAUAUUGUAGCUUCUGAUUCAAAGCAUGUGUAAACUUUUUGGAAGUCUGCAUGUAUCAAGAUAAAAAGUCAUCAUAUUCAAAAUUGAAGCUCCACACUUAUUUUUAUGUAGAUUAAGAUUAAACCCUUACUCAAUCUUGAU